AGAGUUUGAUCAUGGCUCAGAAUGAACGUUGGCGGCGUGGAUUAGGCAUGCAAGUCGAGCGGAAAGGCUCCCUUCGGGGAGUACUCGAGCGGCGAAAGGGAGAGUAAUGCGUGGAUCAUCUACCCCCGGGACCGGGAUAGCCACGGGAAACUGUGGGUAAUACCGGAUAACGUCUCCGGACCAAAGGUGCGAUUCCGCCCAGGGAUGAGUCCACGCCCUACUAGCUUGUUGGUGGGGUAAUGGCCUACCAAGGCAACGAUGGGUACCGGGCGUGAGAGCGUGAUCCGGCUCACUGGGACUGAGACACUGCCCAGACACCUACGGGUGGCUGCAGUCGAGAAUCUUCGGCAAUGGACGAAAGUCUGACCGAGCGACGCCGUGUGUGUGAUGAAGGCCUUCGGGUUGUAAAACACUGUCAGUUGUGAGGAAAUCUCAGGGGGCUAUCCCUCUGAGUUGACCUAGCUUCAGAGGAAGGACGGGCUAAGUUCGUGCCAGCAGCCGCGGUAAGACGAACCGUCCAAACGUUAUUCGGAAUCACUGGGCUUAAAGGGUGCGUAGGCGGCAUAUCAAGUGGGGUGUGAAAUACCUCGGCUCAACCGAGGAACUGCGCUCCAAACUGAUAUGCUAGAAGGCGAGAG
rnacentral:rRNA from 1 species